CUGCAUAUGAUGAGGACAAUCUCGCAAAUAACCCUUGAACCUCUCCCAAGCCUGUGGUAGAGAUUCGAAAUCCUUCUGAGUGAAGUUGGCAAUUUUCGCUAUGAGCUC